rnacentral:rRNA from 1 species
GAUGAACGCUGGCGGCGUGCCUAAUACAUGCCAGUCGAGCGAACGGACGAGAAGCUUGCUUCUCUGAUGUUAGCGGCGGACGGGUGAGUAACACGUGGAUAACCUACCUAUAAGACUGGGAUAACUUCGGGAAACCGGAGCUAAUACCGGAUAAUAUUUUGAACCGCAUGGUUCAAAAGUGAAAGACGGUCUUGCUGUCACUUAUAGAUGGAUCCGCGCUGCAUUAGCUAGUUGGUAAGGUAACGGCUUACCAAGGCAACGAUGCAUAGCCGACCUGAGAGGGUGAUCGGCCACACUGGAACUGAGCCACGGUCCAGACUCCUACGGGAGGCAGCAGUAGGGAAUCUUCCGCAAUGGGCGAAAGCAUGACGCAGCAACGCCGCGUGAGUGAUGAAGGUCUUCGGAUCGUAAAACUCUGUUAUUAGGGAAGAACAUAUGUGUAAGUAACUGUGCACAUCUUGACGGUACCUAAUCAGAAAGCCACGGCUAACUACGUG